rnacentral:miRNA from 17 species
CUGGGAGAAGGUUGUUUACUCU